CCUACGGGUGGCUGCAGUGGGGAAUAUUGGACAAUGGGGGGAACCCUGAUCCAGCCAUGCCGCGUGUGUGAAGAAGGCCCUCGGGUUGUAAAGCACUUUCAGUGAGGAAGAACGCCUGGUGGUUAAUACCCAUCAGGAAAGACAUCACUCACAGAAGAAGCACCGGCUAACUCCGUGCCAGCAGCCGCGGUAAUACGGAGGGUGCGAGCGUUAAUCGGAAUUACUGGGCGUAAAGCGCGCGUAGGUGGCUUGAUAAGCCGGUUGUGAAAGCCCCGGGCUCAACCUGGGAACGGCAUCCGGAACUGUCAAGCUAGAGUGCAGGAGAGGAAGGUAGAAUUCCCGGUGUAGCGGUGAAAUGCGUAGAGAUCGGGAGGAAUACCAGUGGCGAAGGCGGCAUUCUGGACUGAUACUGACACUGAGGUGCGAAAGCGUGGGUAGCAAACAGGAUUAGAUACCCCAGUAGUC
rnacentral:rRNA from 1 species